GACGAACGCUGGCGGCGUGCUUAACACAUGCAAGUCGUACGGUAAGGCCCUUUCGGGGGUACACGAGUGGCGAACGGGUGAGUAACACGUGAGUAACCUGCCCACAACUUUGGGAUAACGCUAGGAAACUGGUGCUAAUACUGGAUAUGUGCUCCUGCUGCAUGGUGGGGGUUGGAAAGCUCCGGCGGUUGUGGAUGGACUCGCGGCCUAUCAGCUUGUUGGUGGGGUAGUGGCCUACCAAGGCGGCGACGGGUAGCCGGCCUGGGAGGGUGAACGGCCACAUUGGGACUGGGAUACGGCCCAGACCCCUACGGGAGGGAGCAGUGGGGAAUAUUGCACAAUGGGGGCGAGCCUGAUGCAGCAACGCCGCGUGCGGGAUGACGGCCUUCGGGUUGGAAACCGCUUUCAGCAGGGACGAAGCUUUUUGUGACGGUACCUGCAGAAGAAGCACCGGCUAACUACGUG
rnacentral:rRNA from 1 species